rnacentral:lncRNA from 1 species
GUACUUCCCCUAUGAGGAGGAUAAUCAUAGGUUAGUACGAGAGAUUGGCAAUGUAACAGAUGGUGUUGAGAUCACCUUCCAGUUUGCAGUCAGACCAGAAAAAGUUGAAAGUAAGCACAAAAUAAAAUAUACAGUGCAAUCAAAAAACAAUAAUAAAUGAGCAUUUUCAUAUGGAACACAAAAUGUAGAAUUUUUUUAAUCUGUGUUUUUUAGGUUUCCAACAACGGGACCGGGUCCCUUUUCAGCUGCAGCUGAGUUUCAAGACUCGAGAUUUGCAGAAAGUGACGAGAGUCAUCACUCAACAGAAACGUGUCACCACAAGCAGGCAAACCACUAAAAAUUCUACACAAUAACAGCAAACACCCUGCAGAUCUAUGACUGACUCAUCUCACUUUAUAUCAGCUGUUUCACAUGCAAAAUAUCUGCAAAAAUUAUGGAGGGCCGGGUACAGGAAGCACAGAGACAACUCAGAGCUCAGCAGGACCUUCUCAAAGACAUCAGGUAUGGCAAACCUCUCCAGAUGGCUCUUUGCUACAUCAUAUGUGUAAGUAUGAAAUAUAUCUCUCUAAAUGUUUAUCUCACAGUCAACAGAAGCCGAGCCCUAAAGAAGAGAGUAUCUAUGGGAACUGGAUAAGCACCAUGAGUAUGAUCUGUGAAGACCUCACCACUGUCAACCAGAACACAACAGAUACUGACAACACACAAGCAUCCCGAACACCUUCCACUGCGAGUCUCUCAGAUGCGGCGGCCAAGGUGGUCUACCAAAUGAAGAGAGCGAAGAGCGUGAGCGGAAAGCGACAGAGAGUUGCCAUGAUGGAGAACUGAGCUCAGAUAUCACCAAGACUCAUGAGCGGUCAUUUAAAUGUGAAACCAGUCAUAUAGGCUGCUAUAUCAAUCUCAAACUAUGGACAAUGAAUACUGCUUGGAAUAUAUGCAAUAUAAAAUAUAUGCAAACUAUGUGUCGAUAACCUAGAAUCCAGCUGGUUAGUUCCUUGUCAUGCCAUCACUGCUGUAUUUAUCUUUGGCUGACAUUUUUGCGUGAGUAACUUGAAUGUAUGUCAGAUUACCAGCUUAGAUACUAGGGACUGUAUUAAUAAAUAUAAUGCAAUCAAAUAAAACAUGUUUUAUAGAAAUCACAGACUGAUUCAUCUUACUCUUUCUACUUACACCACAUUAAAAUCUUCAAAUCAUUUUAUAAUGUAUGCCGAUUUAAAGGAUAAAGAACUGGUAAAAGUGUGUCAACAGAACCAGCUUUAGUGAUGUACGUGACACAAAUGCCCUGAUCAUUCGCACUCUGUGUUCUUUCUUAUCUCUCUCUCUCUGUUUUUCCCCUAAUGUUAAUGGCAGAUGUAGAGUAGCAUUUGACUUUUGAAAUACUUCUCUUGAAAUGAGGCGAUUCUAUCUGUCUCUCUGCAGACGGUAUGUACCUAGAAACCUGUCGCCAUCUGGUUCUCCCUUAAAAAAACAUCUGUUUUUCUACAGAUUUAACACUACGUCAGGUUUUUCCAUAAUGAGGCUUUGUUUUGUACAUAUGACCUCUGGUUUACCCCACAAACUGACCGCACUUUAAAGAACUUUAAUUCAGUCAUGAUCAGCUCCAGAUCUCUGUAGAAUCACAGGUUUUGCAGUGUUAUUUAUACAUUCAUUCAUCAUUUUAUUUCAGCUGCCGGUGAGCAUGUUGAACUGUCAUCUCAGUUUAACAUGCUUUACAAUAUUCAAAUUCAUUUAACAGAAUUCCACCAUAUUCUACCCAAAAAAAAAAAAAAAAAAAAGAAAAAUAAUAAAUACUCCAAAAACAAAAAAAAUAAAAAAAAAAAAUAAAAUACAUAAAAAAAGUUUCAAACAAAUGAUGCAAAACCUUUUCUCAGAAGAAAUUUUGUGGUCACGCUUUAUUUUAAGGUCCAAGUCCUGUUAUUAACAAACCAUUAACUAUGACUUUUGCCUCAAUAAACUCCUAAUUUGCUGCUUAUUAAUAGUCAAGGUAGUUGUUAAAUUUAGCUAUUGGAUAGGAUUAUGGAUUUACAACAUGUGCUUCAUAAGUACUAAUAAACAGCCAUUAUGUUAAUAAUAGGAAUGCUAAUAAGCAACUAGUUAAGAGUGAGAAUUAGUCUAAUACUGAAAUGUAGUAGUCCAAUUUUUCUGAAUUUUAGCAAUGACUUUUAUCCAACUGGUGUC